CCAGACUCCUACGGGAGGCAGCAGUGGGGAAUAUUGGACAAUGGGGGGAACCCUGAUCCAGCGACGCCGCGUGAGUGAAGAAGUAUUUCGGUAUGUAAAGCUCUAUCAGCAGGGAAGAAAGAAAUGACGGUACCUGACUAAGAAGCCCCGGCUAACUACGUGCCAGCAGCCGCGGUAAUACGGAGGAUCCGAGCGUUAUCCGGAUUCAUUGGGUUUAAAGGGUGCGUAGGUUGUUUUAUAAGUUAGCGGUGAAAUGCCGAUGCUCAACAUCGGGGCUGCCGCUAAUACUGUAGGACUAGAGAUCGGAUGCAGCAGGCGGAAUGUGUAGUGUAGCGGUGUAAUGCAUAGAUAUUACACAGAACACCGAUUGCGAAGGCAGCUUGCUAGGCCGGAUCUGACACUGCUGCACGACAGCGUGGGGAUCGAACAGGAUUAGAUCCCCUCGUA
rnacentral:rRNA from 1 species